UACGUAGGGUGCAAGCGUUACUCGGAAUUACUGGGCGUAAAGCGUGCGCAGGCGGUGAUGUAAGACAGGUGUGAAAUCCCCGGGCUUUACCUGGGAACUGCAUUUGUGACUGCAUCGCUGGAGUGCGGCAGAGGGGGAUGGAAUUCCGCGUGUAGCAGUGAAAUGCGUAGAUAUGCGGAGGAACACCGAUGGCGAAGGCAAUCCCCUGGGCCUGCACUGACGCUCAUGCACGAAAGCGUGGGGAGCAAACAGG
rnacentral:rRNA from 1 species